UGGAAAUAGUCUGGGACAGUGAGACAGUUC
rnacentral:piRNA from 1 species